GCCAUGAGGGCGGGAACCCUCGUACGCGGAAGUUCAUGAGGGCGGGACCCUCGUACGCGGAAGGUCAUGAGGGCGGGACCCUCGUACGCGGAAGUUCAUGCGGGCGGGACCCUCGUACGUGGAAGGUCAUGAGGGCGGGACCCUCGUACGUGGAAGGUCAUGAGGGCGGAACCCUGGUACAUGAAAUUCGUUCUCUUAUUUAAGAGACAAAGAACGCCCUUGUUUUUUCCACCACGUGAUGGCGCAGACAGAAGACAACCAGCAUCUAUGAACCAGGAAGCCCCCACCAGGCACUGAAUCUGCCCCUGCGUGGAUCUUAGACUUGCAGACUCCAGAACUAACCUUACAAUGUCUCUUCUCCAUUAAGAAAACCUACUUCAACAUCUCCAUUGGUUCUCAACAUAGAGGUCCAAAUUUUGGUCUGGAGCCAGAGACAAUAUAGGAUGAAGUUUGAUUUGUUCCAAAACCCACAGAAAUCUCUAAAAUGGAAGAAUUUUCUUAGAACCAAAAGGCAUGGAAUUGAUGACAUGAAACUGAAGCAUUCUUGUCAAGAUGAAAUCAAGAGAGACAUGACUUUUGGCAGCACCGUCCUGUGGGACAUGUGGCAAACAAAUGACAUGAGCUAAUGGGACAAGAAGGCAACUUCAGCUAGAGAGAUGGAAAAAGGUCAGUUGUCCUCCAAAUGACCUCUGUUCAUGACCACCUCACUCAACAUCCAGACACCAAAUCUUUAGGAGAGUGACUGAGCACACUACGUGCCGAAGAGCAGGAGGCUGGAGGAGGCUGGACAUCACUGUCUUUUAUUAUCACAGACAGAACAGUAACACUCUGCAGAGCUACGGAAACUUGGUAGAAAAAAUAAUGGAUGAGUCACAUGGUGGGAAUGUUCAGAAAUGUGGAGAAGGCUUUGGCUGCCCCUGCAAGGAAUUAAAGCUGUACUUAAGAUUAGGUUGACUGUGAUAAAAAAAAAUAUUUCAUCUAUGCUGAGCCUCAGAAAAGGAUAAA
rnacentral:lncRNA from 1 species